rnacentral:miRNA from 3 species
UUCAUUUGGUAUAAACCGCGAUU